rnacentral:siRNA from 1 species
CUCAGGGUGAGCUUGGUCGACUGC